AAAAAAUUUAAAUAGGGCGUUCAUAUAAUCGCGGAGAUAGGGUCCGCAAGUUUCUACCGGGCUGCCGUAAAUGGCCUGACUAUGAGCGAAACUGUGCCCAGG
rnacentral:ncRNA from 20 species